GUCCGAUGCUGGUCUCGGGCCCUGCUGGGAGACAAGAUCUGGUACUGAACAGGUCCUUCAGACUUGGACUGAAUUACACUACUGGAUUUCCUGGUUCUCCAGCCUGCAGACAACAGUUCAUGGGACUUCUCAGCCUCCAUACUUGCGCUCUCAGGAAAGAAGAAAAGGAUUCUACCUGGAGUGGAGGGGCCUCACACCUCACCACCUCUUCUUCCCACGUAGGGACUCUGAGCUCCCUUUGAGAUCCCAGGCAGAGAUCCCAUCAGAGGCCACCACCAGCUCUUGAAUGAGUGCUGUCAGGAUGAGUCCACGAAAAGGAACCUGUUUUUAAACUGUCAAAUGCUAUAAUAGUCAGAGGACCAAAAGCUACUCCUAGGACAGUUUUGUCACUUUCCCUCUCC
rnacentral:lncRNA from 1 species